GGAGGGUGCUUUCCUAGCCGUUCCAAGCUUUUCAGACAUGACGUAUAUGCGCAUAGGAAGGAAGAUGAAGUAGUUAACAGUGCUAACAGAAAACUAGAUGUUCUAGAAGAAAACUGCUUGCUUAAGGAAUUGAGAGCACAGUGGGUCCUGAUCCUUAGCUGAGGCAGUGAUGGGUACCUUGAAGACUUAAGAAUGGCCAUAAGAUCAGAUUCGG